UAGUCAGUGAAAGUCUGACCGUGGUAAUUGCCAGAAAGCCAUGUAGCAGGCUCCCAGUGCAUGGGGUGACCCAAUGUGCUGAAGCGGAGUAACCUCCUGAGAAAGGAGAGCAAAAUAACAGUCCGUAACAUAA
rfam:Desulfuribacillus alkaliarsenatis strain AHT28 DSM-24608_Contig_5_85X, whole genome shotgun sequence.